rnacentral:rRNA from 1 species
CCUACGGAGGCAGCAGUGGGGAAUAUUGGACAAUGGGCGAAAGCCUGAUCCAGCCAUGCCGCGUGUGUGAAGAAGGCCUUCGGGUUGUAAAGCACUUUCAGUGGGGAAGAAAGCCUUGGGGCUAAUACCCUCGAGGAAGGACAUCACCCACAGAAGAAGCACCGGCUAACUCCGUGCCAGCAGCCGCGGUAAUACGGAGGGUGCGAGCGUUAAUCGGAAUUACUGGGCGUAAAGCGCGCGUAGGCGGUCUGAUAAGCCGGUUGUGAAAGCCCCGGGCUCAACCUGGGAACGGCAUCCGGAACUGUCAGGCUAGAGUGCAGGAGAGGAAGGUAGAAUUCCCGGUGUAGCGGUGAAAUGCGUAGAGAUCGGGAGGAAUACCAGUGGCGAAGGCGGCCUUCUGGACUGACACUGACGCUGAGGUGCGAAAGCGUGGGUAGCAAACAGGAUUAGAUACCCGGUAGUC